ACUCCUACGGGAGGCAGCAGUGGGGAAUAUUGCACAAUGGGGAAACCCUGACGCAGCGACGCCGCGUGCGGGAAGAAGGCCUGGUCGUAACCGCUGUCAGAGGAAGAAACUGUUGGGUAGUAAUACGCCCAUUCACUGACGGUACCUCCAGAGGAAGCACCGGCUAACUCCGUGCCAGCAGCCGCGGUAAUACGGAGGGUGCGAGCGUAAUCGGAAUCACUGGCGUAAAGCGUGCGUAGGCGGCGCAGCAAGUCAGACGUGAAAGCCCUCGGCUCAACCGAGGAAUUGCGUUUGAAACUGCUGCGCUAGAGUCUCGGAGAGGUUAGGGGAAGUUCCAGGUGUAGGAGUGAAAUCCGUAGAUAUCUGGAGGAACACCGGUGGCGAAGGCGCCUAACUGGACGAGUACUGACGCUGAGGUACGAAAGCUGGGGAGCAAACAGGAUUAGAUACCCUGGUAGCACAGAG
rnacentral:rRNA from 1 species